rnacentral:snoRNA from 8 species
GUGAAAUGAUGAUUCAGUUUAUCCAUUCGCUGAGUGCGCUGCACUGACCUUCUUCCAAGCCUGGGUUCCUGUUCUGGGAACUCUGGGUUACGUGGUUGCCAAAUGCCCUGCAGUCUGCUGUGUUCUACUGUGGACGGCUUGUGUGUUGGUGGACUACCGGUAAGAAUGGCUGGUGUCAGCAGGGAUGGGUCCCUGUGGGCUCAUCUCACCAAGAUGAGUGGUGGAAAUCUGAUCAC